UUCCUAGGAGAUCACUUACAAGGCACAGACACCCUCAGAUGCCCAGGAUUCUCAGCAAUAAACACAGCUUUGGCUCUAGAAAUAAGCAGAGAUAGAGAAUCUCUUCUUUGGAUAAGCAAGAAUGGAAGAAAUGAGAAGCAAAUCAAGGCUCCAGGAAUAGGUACCUGUGUUCAAAUUAGAGGCUUACUCUUUGAUGAACAUUUGACCAGAAUUAUAAACUGCAAAUGUGGCCCUCACCUCUCUCACAUAGGCAGUGGCAUCCAAACCUGCUGACCUUGUCCUCCACUAGGACUGCAUGAU